CACCAGACUCCUACGGGAGGCAGCAGUGGGGAAUAUUGCACAAUGGGGGAAACCCUGAUGCAGCGACGCCGCGUGAGCGGUGAAGUAUUUCGGUAUGUAAAGCUCUAUCAGCAGGGAAGAAAAUGACGGUACCUGAAGAAGAAGCCCCGGCUAACUACGUGCCAGCAGCCGCGGUAAUACGUAGGGGGCAAGCGUUAUCCGGAUUUACUGGGUGUAAAGGGGGCGCAGACGGCUAUGCAAGCCAGGAGUGAAAGCCCGGGGCCCAACCCCGGUACUGCUCUUGGAACUGCGUGGCUGGAGUGCAGGAGGGGCAGGCGGAAUUCCUGGUGUAGCGGUGAAAUGCGUAGAUAUCAGGAGGAACACCGGUGGCGAAGGCGGCCUGCUGGACUGCAACUGACGUUGAGGCCCGAAAGCGUGGGGAGCAAACAGGAUUAGAUACCCUUGUACA
rnacentral:rRNA from 1 species